rnacentral:tRNA from 6 species
GCGCUUGUAGCUCAGCUGGAUAGAGCAACGGACUACGAAUCCGUAGGUCGGGCGUUCGAAUCGCUCCAGGCGCACCA